rnacentral:misc_RNA from 1 species
GGGAAACUACUCAAAAUCCCUCCAUAUCUAGUGAAAAGGCGUAAACAGCAUUUCCACCAUCUAGAUCAGUAUGGAGUUGACUUGAUUUUUGGCUGCAAUGGAUUAAUUUGGGUUGGGGAACACAUUGAUGUAAAAGAUGUAAUGGUGGAGGAUCAAGUAAAUAAGUCCGAUCCACAGAACACCCAUUUAUCAAGCUUACCAGGUUCUAGUGAAGAACCAACUGAUACACCACUGGAAAUAAGA